AGCAAGAAUUAUCCAGAUUUCAAUCAUUUCCAAGAUAAAGAGAAGCAUCAUUGCUUCACUUAUUGCCUGUCAGCCAGAGAAAAUGGAGAAGUUCCCGCAAUCGUCCGCGCCACCGCUAGAUUCCCGCAAAUUGUCCAACAAAAUCACCGAAAUCGCCGCCGGCGAAGCUCACACUCUCGUUCUCACUGCGGAUGGGAGGGUUUAUUCUUGGGGUAGAGGAAUGUUUGGCCGGCUCGGCACCGGAUCGGAGUUCGACCAGCUAUUUCCAGUCAGAGUUGAAUUUGGGUCUGCACCGGUUAAAAUUGUGGCUAUUGCCGCUGGGGCUUAUCACAGUCUCGCGCUUGCAGAUGAUGGAUCAGUUUGGGGCUGGGGUUACAAUGUCUAUGGCCAACUUGGUGGAAAUGGAGAAAAUUAUUUAGCUCCUCAUUUACUGGAUGGAUUCCUUGGGUUGGGUUCCCCUAAUACAGCAGGAGAGGACUCAGAAAGGAAGACACUGAUGAUUUCUUCGGUCAAAGCUGGCGCAAUGAUGUCUGUGGCGAUUGACAGUCUUGGGGGUCUAUGGAUUUGGGGCAAUUGCCCUCAGCCACAAAAAAAUAAGUCUACUGAGGCUGAAUUCUCUCUCACCUGCACUUUUAAUCCUGUACCUGUCUGGAACUUUCAUGGACACACUGUUGUUAAGGUGGCAUGUGGAAAUGAGCAUGUUGUGGCAUUAGUGACUAUUGGAGAAACAUAUAAAGGGAAUGAUCUUGUCUGCUAUUCUUGGGGUGGCAAUAGCCAUGGCCAGUUAGGUUUGGGAGAUAGGGAGGGCAGGCUCUUUCCCGAAAUCAUCGAAGCCUUUAAUUCAGAAUCUCCUUGGACUGUAUAUGAGGUAGCAUGUGGGUCUUACCACACAGCUUUACUAGCGCAGAAAAGCCCGAGUGACAUAUUAGAAAGUGUAUGCUGGACAUUUGGCCUUGGCGAUAAUGGCCAAUUAGGUCAGGGCACUACCCAAAGUUAUUUUUCCCCUGAACCUGUGAAAGAGUUGCCAAGAACUGCAUUUCUCAUUUCUGUUAACUGUGGCUUAUUUCACACCAGUGUUGUCUCAUCAGCUGGAGAUGUAUGGUCAUGGGGAAUGGAAAGAGGCCUGGGCCUGUGCCCUGAUGCAAGGUUUAUCGGAACUGAAACGGGUGAUGCAAUAUUGCCCUUGUUGAUUCCUUGUAAUGAGCAUUAUGGGCCUAAAUUUCCAGAACCUGUUCAAGUUGUGUGUGGUGCAGCCCAUACUGUUCUCCUUGCGGAUUCGGGAUACAAGCUUUGGUCUUGGGGCAGGGGACGCAGCGGGGUCCUUGGAACUGGGCAAACAACUGAUUCUUUUGCUCCAACUGGUGCGAUGUGGCCGCCUAUAGACGAGGAUUUCAAAGAGGAGGUUUUAGACGAUAAUGAUAAAAACGAAAAAACUGAAGAAAAGAAACCUAAGGACAAUGUUGAAAUGGAGAAGAAGUUAUUGGACGCAAUGGGGGAGAUAAAUCUACUUCAAUCCAAACUUUCUGUGAUGGAAAGGUAUGCUAGCAUCCUGCACAGCUCUAUCUUUGGGAGACCUUUUCAAGAGCAAGACAUUCCUGCCUCACUGCAGAGCGGAGGCGCAUUUGACAUCGCAAAGGAGUGGGAAAACAUGUUGGAGUCAUCAGAUCGUGGCAAGCUCGUGAGGUUAGAGAUGUUUUACCGCAACAUGCUUGCUGGUGUCAAGGAUAACAUUUUGAAGAAACGGAUCAAGGAGAUUGUUGUAGACUGCCUUGGCUCCUCUCGGUAAAGGAAUGACACAAUAUGUUUGGCUACAAUCUUUAAGGGGAUUGUUGGGCGGAGGCCGGUGAAGGGUCAACCCCAGUACUCAGACUCUAGAAAAUGUGGUGGUAUAUAAGGAAAUGAAGUUGCGCCUUCGUUGUAAGUAUAACUUUUGACGUAGUGAAAUUAGAUGAUUGAAUUGAAAGAAAGAUGAUACUGAUCUGAUCGAGUGUCCAAUAUAAUGUGACAAUCAAUGGUAACGCAAAAAACAUAUGUGAUAGUGGCAAAAACUCAAAAGGCAACCAACAAAGGAGAAGGUGACAUCUGAUACCAGGCAAGACAAUAAAAUGGCAGAGAAACUCAUGAAAGGUUCCUAGUUGCAUUGUUGUGCUAUCCAUAUCAUUGAAGUAUAACUAUGCUCUUUGUCUCACAAAAGAUGUUUACAUUCCGUUUUAAACAAAACAGAAAGAAUAAGGAAAAGUAUGUACUUAUUAUUA